GAUGAACGCUGGCGGCGUGCUUAACACAUGCAAGUCGAACGGGGAUUAUUUUGACAGAGACUUCGGUUGAAGUUGUUAUAAUCCUAGUGGCGGACGGGUGAGUAACGCGUGGGUAACCUGCCUCACACUGGGGGAUAACAGUCAGAAAUGACUGCUAAUACCGCAUAAGCGCACGGGAUUGCAUGAUCCAGUGUGAAAAACUCCGGUGGUGUGAGAUGGACCCGCGUUGGAUUAGCCAGUUGGCAGGGUAACGGCCUACCAAAGCGACGAUCCAUAGCCGGCCUGAGAGGGUGGACGGCCACAUUGGGACUGAGACACGGCCCAGACUCCUACGGGAGGCAGCAGUGGGGAAUAUUGCACAAUGGGGGAAACCCUGAUGCAGCGACGCCGCGUGAAGGAAGAAGUAUCUCGGUAUGUAAACUUCUAUCAGCAGGGAAGAAAAUGACG
rnacentral:rRNA from 1 species